rnacentral:rRNA from 1 species
UACAGAGGGUGCGAGCGUUGUUCGGAAUUAUUGGGCGUAAAGGGCGCGUAGGCGGUGCGGUAAGUCACCUGUGAAAUCCCCGGGCUCAACCUGGGAAUGGCAUUUGGGACUGCAAGGCUUGAGUGCGGCAGAGGAGACUGGAAUUCCUGGUGUAGCAGUGAAAUGCGUAGAUAUCAGGAGGAAUACCGAUGGCGAAGGCAGGUCUCUGGGCUGACACUGACGCUCAUGCACGAAAGCGUGGGGAGCAAACAGG